AGGGUGUAAACGCUGCAGACUUGGUGUUGGAGGCCCUUUGGGGGCAUUCAGUGCCGGAGAGAAGUUGUUAAGUCUGCUACUUGGGGAGUACGUCCGCAAGGAUGAAACUUAAAGGAAUUGGCGGGGGGAGCACCGCAACGGGAGGAGCGUGCGGUUUAAUUGGAUUCAACACCGUAAAACUCACCAGGGAAGACUGUUACAUGAAGGCCGAGAUGAAGACUCUGCUAGAUUUUCAGAGAGGAGGUGCAUGGCGUCAGUGACU
rnacentral:rRNA from 1 species